rnacentral:tRNA from 2 species
ACCUGGUUAGCUUAGUUGGUAGAGCGCUCCACUUGUAAUGGAGAGGUCCCGGGUUCGAUACCCGGACCAGGCG